rnacentral:lncRNA from 1 species
CUCUGGUGUACACUCACGAAUGCUGAGAUCCCAGGCAAGGAUGACCUUCUCUAAAAGGGACACAUGAAUACCAAGAUAUGGGAGGCUUGAGCAAAUACUAUGAAUCUCUCAAGGAGCUAUGGAUUACCUUAAAAGGCUAGACAACAGAGCCACGGCACAGGAAGUCUGCCCUGGAUGCUAUCCUGCUGGGAAUUGGCCCUCUGAAACAGAUCCAUCCACCCGAUGAGUCAUGACAUUAAAAAUGAUGAAGGAAAUGGACUGGAUUAUUAACACGGUGGCAGAAGGAGAAGCUAUAAAUAAAACAAGCUUUAUCCAAAUUAGGAAGAGCUAACAAAGACAACUCAGAAAGUGAAAGUGAACCAAGAAGAUUGCGUUGCUCUCAAGAAACGAUGUUAAUUAAAACUUUAGAAAGCAUGAUAA